CUACGGGGGGCAGCAGUGAGGAAUAUUGGUCAAUGGGGGAAACCCUGAACCAGCGACGCCGCGUGUGGGAUGAAUGGGCUCUGCCCUGUAAACCACUGUUGAGAGGGAAGAAAAGCUUCUUAUGGAAGCCGGGACUGUACCUCUUCAGAAAGGAUCGGCUAACUACGUGCCAGCGGCCGCGGUAAUACGUAGGAUCCAAGCGUUGUCCGGAAUUACUGGGGUAAAGGGUGCGUAGGCGGGCUUGUGCGUCAGGGGUUAAAUCCCACGGCUUAACCGUGGAGCUGCCCUUGAUACGGCAAGUCUUGAGUGUGAGAGAGGAUGGUAGAAUUCCUGGUGUAGCGGUGAAAUGCGUAGAUAUCAGGAGGAAUACCAGUGGCGAAGGCGGCCAUCUGGCUCACUACUGACGCUGAGGCACGAAAGCGUGGGGAGCGAACAGGAUUAGAUACCCGUGUAGUC
rnacentral:rRNA from 1 species